AAUUUGCCGAACCUAAAACCGUGGCUAAAUGUUUUUUUUAACGACUCCACGUAAAUGAAUGAUAUGCUUCGUUCAAUCCUGUAACGAAGGAGAGAAUUCCAAUCGUCAGGCGCUAGAAGGCCGCCAAAUAUUCAAGCGGCAAUUCGUUUCGUUCCUCAUAGUUAUCAAUUUUUAGAUCCCACUCAACUAACUAAUCCCCCCACUACCAGCUGCGCAAUGACUCACUGCAUUAACCCACAUCAAACGCUCUCAUUUCCAAGAGAUAAAAUAGACAAGCUAUUUUCUUUUUACAAAAAGAUACAAAGCGCUUUUAUCUAAAGCCGUCGUGCAACGCAAAUCGGCUGGUUCGAUCCGGUGUUCUCAAACAGCUAUCGAUUAUUGGGUUGAAUAGCGCCGCUCGCAUGUCCCAUUCUGGCCGGGGACGGGGUCGUGGGCGCGGAGAGGGGCGUUCCGAGCUCAGUCGCGAGGUAGUCGUUUCGAAGGCAUUAAGCUACAUCUUACGGCACGCGGCGGAAAGAGAAGGGUUGAAAAUUGACAGGCAUGGUUAUGCCAACGUCGCUGAUCUUUUAGCAUGGCGGAAACUGAAAUCCCUAAAAGUCACCUUCCCAGAAAUUCUAAACGCGGUCUCCACCUCCGACAAACAACGGUUUGGUCUCCUGUAUAAACCCCCACACUCGCAUGAUGCCUCGGAGACUACGACCACACCACCCACAGACCCUUGCAAGCAAGAUGAGCACGACUCUCCCACUGCAACUGCAACCGCAACCGCAACCGCAACCGCCCAAGCCCUAGCCGCCAACGACCCAGAACCCACCCACUACCUCAUCCGCGCCACGCAAGGCCACAGCAUAAAAACCGUCGAAGCCGCCUCCCUCCUCGAAAAGCUCUCCCUUCCCUCCGCCAACUCCUCCGCCCCGGCGCUCCCGGACACCGUCGUGCACGGCACCUACCAUGCCGCCUGGCCGUUGAUACUCGCGUCUGGCGGCCUACGAUGCAUGAGCAGGAACCACAUACAUUUCGCCACGGGGCCGGCGCUAUCCAGUGUAUUACCCGAAGGGCGCGGGGGAUCUAUUGUUGUGCGUGAUAGGAGUGCUGGUGCUGGUGCUGGCGGGGUGAUAUCCGGGAUGCGAACUGAUGCGCAGAUACUGAUAUAUAUUGAUUUGAAGAAGGCGUUGGAGGCCGGCGUGCCGUUUUGGAGAAGCGAGAAUGGAGUUAUUUUGAGUGAGGG
rnacentral:sRNA from 2 species